rnacentral:rRNA from 1 species
UACGUAGGUGGCAAGCGUUAUCCGGAAUUAUUGGGCGUAAAGCGCGCGCAGGCGGUCCUUUAAGUCUGAUGUGAAAGCCCACGGCUCAACCGUGGAGGGUCAUUGGAAACUGGGGGACUUGAGUGCAGAAGAGAAGAGUGGAAUUCCACGUGUAGCGGUGAAAUGCGUAGAGAUGUGGAGGAACACCAGUGGCGAAGGCGACUCUUUGGUCUGUAACUGACGCUGAGGCGCGAAAGCGUGGGGAGCAAACAGG